GCACGUGUGGUGUAGUGGUCUUGCAUUUCCGGUUCCCAACCGGACGGUCCCGGGUUCGAACCCCGGCACGUGCA